rnacentral:rRNA from 1 species
AGCGAACGCUGGCGGCAGGCCUAACACAUGCAAGUCGAACGAACCUUUCGGGGUUAGUGGCGGACGGGUGAGUAACACGUGGGAACGUGCCUUUAGGUUCGGAAUAACUCAGGGAAACUUGUGCUAAUACCGAAUGUGCCCUUCGGGGGAAAGAUUUAUCGCCUUUAGAGCGGCCCGCGUCUGAUUAGCUAGUUGGUUGAGGUAAUGGCUCACCAAGGCGACGAUCAGUAGCUGGUCUGAGAGGAUGAUCAGCGACAUUGGGACUGAGACACGGCCCAAACUCCUACGGGAGGCAGCAGUGGGGAAUCUUGCGCAAUGGGCGAAAGCCUGACGCAGCCAUGCCGCGUGAAUGAUGAAGGUCUGAGGAUUGUAAAAUUCUUUCACCGGGGACGAUAAUGACGGUACCCGGAGAAGAAGCCCCGGCUAACUUCGUG